rnacentral:rRNA from 1 species
UACGUAGGGGGCAAGCGUUGUCCGGAAUCAUUGGGCGUAAAGAGCGCGUAGGCGGCCCAGUAAGUCCGCUCUGAAAGUCAGGGGCUCAACCCCUGGAUGCGGGUGGAUACUGCUGGGCUAGAGUCCGGAAGAGGUGAGUGGAAUUCCUGGUGUAGCGGUGAAAUGCGCAGAUAUCAGGAGGAACACCGGUGGCGAAGGCGGGUCUCUGGGCCGAUACUGACACUGAGGAGCGAAAGCGUGGGGAGCGAACAGG